rnacentral:rRNA from 1 species
GUGUCAGCAGCCGCGGUAAUACAGAGGGUGCGAGCGUUGUCCGGAAUCACUGGGCGUAAAGGGCGCGUAGGCGGCUUCUUAAGCGUGUGGUGAAAGCGCGGGGCUCAACCCCGCGUCGGCCGUGCGAACUGGGGAGCUGGAGCACGUCAGAGGCAGGCGGAAUUCCGGGUGUAGCGGUGGAAUGCGUAGAGAUCCGGAAGAACACCGGUGGCGAAGGCGGCCUGCUGGGACGUGGCUGACGCUGAGGCGCGACAGCGUGGGGAGCAAACAGGAUUAGAUACCCUGGUAGUCCACGCCGUAAACGAUGGGUACUAGGUGCUUGGGGGAGCGACCCCCUGGGUGCCGGCGCUAACGCAUUAAGUACCCCGCCUGGGGAGUACGGCCGCAAGGCUGAA